GAAAUGCGAUACGUAGUGUGAAUUGCAGAAACCAGUGAAUCAUCGAGAUCUUGAACGCAAAUUGCGCCCGAAGCCUUCUGGCCGAGGGCACGUCUGCCUGGGCGUCACGCAUCGCGUCUCCCCCCAACCCACCAAGCGUGGGUUAUGGGGGAGGAGGAUGGCUUCCCGUGCCUCACCGGGCGCGGCUGGCCUAAAUAAGGAGCCUCAGGUCACGGACGGCUGCGGCGAUUGGUGAAUAAUCAACUCUAUCCGUGCAGUGCGUGGCCAUCGUGGACUCGUAGGACCCUGUGUUGUCCCCUUACACGGACAAACCGUUGCGACCCCAGGUCAGGCGGGGCUACCCGCUGAGUUUAA
rnacentral:misc_RNA from 1 species